ensembl:snRNA U1 U1 spliceosomal RNA
AUACUUACCUGGCAGGGGAGAUACCGUGAUCAAGAAGGCGAGGCUCAGCCAUUGCACUCCCUAAAUGUGGGAAUCUCGACUGCAUCAUUUCUGGUAGUGGGGGACAGCGUUCACACUCUCCUCUG